AAACUCGUGUGUACCUUUGUUUUUUUCUUUUUGUAUAAAAUUUUACUAAGUGUAAUAACUUAGUAAUCCUUAGAAUUGGGUAAAUUUUCAUGCCUGAGUAUCUUCUUUAUUAUUUCUUCACGCCUAAGUAUAAUAACUCAUUAUGCUGAUAAUGUGCUUCAAUACUUUAAAUAGAACUCAGUGUGCCUAAAUUGGCAUCUUUAGAAGAAUGCACUAAUAAUGUGCUA
rnacentral:lncRNA from 1 species